rfam:TPA: Bos taurus chromosome 27, whole genome shotgun sequence.
GUCUGGCUAGCUCAGUUGGUAGAACAUGAGACCCUUAAUCUCAGGGUCCUUGGUUAGAGUCCAAGGUCAGGUG